rfam:Schistosoma haematobium scaffold912_5, whole genome shotgun sequence.
AUCCAGCUGAUGAGUCCCGAAUAAGACGGAACGCACAUCCUGGAU